rnacentral:rRNA from 1 species
UACGGAGGGUGCAAGCGUUAUCCGGAUUCACUGGGUUUAAAGGGUGCGUAGGUGGGCAGGUAAGUCAGUGGUGAAAUCGUCCGGCUUAACCCGGAAACUGCCAUUGAUACUAUCAGUCUUGAAUACCGUGGAGGUAAGCGGAGUAUGUCAUGUAGCGGUGAAAUGCUUAGAUAUGACAUAGAACACCAAUUGCGAAGGCAGCUUACUACCCGAAUAUUGACACUGAGGCACGAAAGCGUGGGGAUCAAACAGG